AUUGAACGCUGGCGGCAGGCCUAACACAUGCGAGUCGGACGGUAGCACAGAGGAGCUUGCUCUUCGGGUGACGAGUGGCGGACGGGUGAGUAAUGUCUGGGGAUCUGCCCGAUAGAGGGGGAUAACCACUGGAAACGGUGGCUAAUACCGCAUAACGUCGCAGGACCAAAGAGGGGGACCUUCGGGCCUCUCACUAUCGGAUGAACCCAGAUGGGAUUAGCUAGUAGGCGGGGUAACGGCCCACCUAGGCGACGAUCCCUAGCUGGUCUGAGAGGAUGACCAGCCACACUGGAACUGAGACACGGUCCAGACUCCUACGGGAGGCAGCAGUGGGGAAUAUUGCACAAUGGGCGCAAGCCUGAUGCAGCCAUGCCGCGUGUAUGAAGAAGGCCUUCGGGUUGUAAAGUACUUUCAGCGGGGAGGAAGGCGAUGUGGUUAAUAACCGCGUCGAUUGACGUUACCCGCAGAAGAAGCACCGGCUAACUCCGUGCCAGCCGCCGCAUAA
rnacentral:rRNA from 1 species